GACGAACGCUGGCGGCGUGCCUAAUACAUGCAAGUCGAACGAACCGCGACUAGGUGCUUGCACUUGGUCAAGGUGAGUGGCGAACGGGUGAGUAACACGUGGGUAACCUACCUCAUAGUGGGGGAUAACAGUCGGAAACGACUGCUAAUACCGCAUAGGACAUAGGAUCACAUGAUCCAGUGAGGAAAGGUGGCGCAAGCUAUCGCUAAGAGAUGGACCCGCGGUGCAUUAGCUAGUUGGUAGGGUAAAGGCCUACCAAGGCGAUGAUGCAUAGCCGACCUGAGAGGGUGAUCGGCCACAUUGGGACUGAGACACGGCCCAAACUCCUACGGGAGGCAGCAGUAGGGAAUCUUCCGCAAUGGACGCAAGUCUGACGGAGCAACGCCGCGUGAGUGAAGAAGGUCUUCGGAUCGUAAAGCUCUGUUGUUAGAGAAGAACAGCGCAUAGAGUAACUGUUAUGCGUGUGACAGUAUCUAACCAGAAAGCCACGGCUAACUACGUG
rnacentral:rRNA from 1 species